UACGUAGGGGGCAAGCGUUGUCCGGAAUUACUGGGCGUAAAGAGCUCGUAGGUGGUUUGUCGCGUUGUCCGUGAAAACUCACAGCUCAACUGUGGGCGUGCGGGCGAUACGGGCAGACUGGAGUACUGCAGGGGAGACUGGAAUUCCUGGUGUAGCGGUGGAAUGCGCAGAUAUCAGGAGGAACACCGGUGGCGAAGGCGGGUCUCUGGGCAGUAACUGACGCUGAGGAGCGAAAGCGUGGGGAGCGAACAGG
rnacentral:rRNA from 1 species